UACGGAGGGUGCAAACGUUGCUCGGAAUCAUUGGGCGUAAAGCGCACGUAGGCGGCCCGUUAAGUCGGAUGUGAAAGCCCAGGGCUCAGCCCUGGAAGUGCAUUCGAUACUGGCAGGCUUGAAUAUGGAAGAGGGUCGCGGAAUUCCCGGUGUAGAGGUGAAAUUCGUAGAUAUCGGGAGGAGCACCAGUGGCGAAGGCGGCGACCUGGGCCAAUAUUGACGCUGAGGUGCGAAAGCGUGGGGAGCAAACAGG
rnacentral:rRNA from 1 species